rnacentral:rRNA from 1 species
UCCGUAGGUGAACCUGCGGAAGGAUCAUUACUGAGUGAGGGCCCUCUGGGUCCAACCUCCCACCCGUGUUUAUUGUACCUUGUUGCUUCGGUGCGCCCGCCUCACGGCCGCCGGGGGGCUUCUGCCCCCGGGUCCGCGCGCACCGGAGACACUAUUGAACUCUGUCUGAAGAUUGCAGUCUGAGCAUAAACUAAAUAAGUUAAAACUUUCAACAACGGAUCUCUUGGUUCCGGCAUCGAUGAAGAACGCAGCGAAAUGCGAUAACUAAUGUGAAUUGCAGAAUUCAGUGAAUCAUCGAGUCUUUGAACGCACAUUGCGCCCCCUGGUAUUCCGGGGGGCAUGCCUGUCCGAGCGUCAUUGCUGCCCUCAAGCACGGCUUGUGUGUUGGGCUCCGUCCCCCCGGGGACGGGUCCGAAAGGCAGCGGCGGCACCGAGUCCGGUCCUCGAGCGUAUGGGGCUUUGUCACCCGCUCUGUAGGCCCGGCCGGCGCCAGCCGACAACCAAUCAUCCUUUUUUCAGGUUGACCUCGGAUCAGGUAGGGAUACCCGCUGAACUUAAGCAUAUCAAUAAGCGGAGGA